rnacentral:rRNA from 1 species
UACGGGGGGUGCGAGCGUUGUCCGGAAUCAUUGGGCGUAAAGGGCGCGUAGGUGGCCUGUUAAGGGUGUGGUGAAAGCCCGGGGCUCAACUCCGGAUCGGCGGUGGGUACGGGCAGACUAGAGUGAUGUAGGGGAGACUGGAAUUCCUGGUGUAGCGGUGAAAUGCGCAGAGAUCAGGAGGAACACCGAUGGCGAAGGCAGGUCUCUGGGCAUUAACUGACGCUGAGGAGCGAAAGCAUGGGGAGCAAACAGG